rnacentral:rRNA from 1 species
UACGUAGGGUGCAAGCGUUGUCCGGAAUUAUUGGGCGUAAAGGGCUCGUAGGCGGUCCGUCACGUCGGGAGUGAAAACUUGGGGCUUAACCCCAAGCCUGCUUCCGAUACGGGCGGACUAGAGGUAGGCAGGGGAGAACGGAAUUCCUGGUGUAGCGGUGAAAUGCGCAGAUAUCAGGAAGAACACCCGUGGCGAAAGCGGCUCUCUGGAACGGUACUGACGCUGAGACGCGAAAGCGUGGGGAGCGAACAGG